rnacentral:rRNA from 1 species
UACGAAGGGGGCUAGCGUUGUUCGGAUUUACUGGGCGUAAAGCGCACGUAGGCGGAUUCUUAAGUCAGGGGUGAAAUCCCGGGGCUCAACCUCGGAACUGCCUUUGAUACUGGGGAUCUCGAGUUCGGGAGAGGUGAGUGGAAUUGCGAGUGUAGAGGUGAAAUUCGUAGAUAUUCGCAAGAACACCAGUGGCGAAGGCGGCUCACUGGCCCGAUACUGACGCUGAGGUGCGAAAGCGUGGGGAGCAAACAGGG